GUUGUGAGGUUAAGCGACUAAGCGUACACGGUGGAUGCUCUGGCAGUCAGAGGCCAUGAAGGACGUGCUAAUCUGCGAUAAGCGUCGGUAAGGUGAUAUGAACCGUUAUAACCGGCGAUUUCCGAAUGGGGAAACCCAGUGUGAUUCGUCACACUAUCAUUAACUGAAUCCAUAGGUUAAUGAGGCGAACCGGGGGAACUGAAACAUCUAAGUACCCCGAGGAAAAGAAAUCAACCGAGAUUCCCCCAGUAGCGGCGAGCGAACGGGGAGCAGCCCAGAGCCUGAAUCAGUGUGUGUGUUAGUGGAAGCGUCUGGAAAGGCGCGCGAUACAGGGUGACAGCCCCGUACACAAAAAUGCACAUGCUGUGAGCUCGAUGAGUAGGGCGGGACACGUGGUAUCCUGUCUGAAUAUGGGGGGACCAUCCUCCAAGGCUAAAUACUCCUGACUGACCGAUAGUGAACCAGUACCGUGAGGGAAAGGCGAAAAGAACCCCGGCGAGGGGAGUGAAAAAGAACCUGAAACCGUGUACGUACAAGCAGUGGGAGCACGCUUAGGCGUGUGACUGCGUACCUUUUGUAUAAUGGGUCAGCGACUUAUAUUCUGUAGCAAGGUUAACCGAAUAGGGGAGCCGAAGGGAAACCGAGUCUUAACUGGGCGUUAAGUUGCAGGGUAUAGACCCGAAACCCGGUGAUCUAGCCAUGGGCAGGUUGAAGGUUGGGUAACACUAACUGGAGGACCGAACCGACUAAUGUUGAAAAAUUAGCGGAUGACUUGUGGCUGGGGGUGAAAGGCCAAUCAAACCGGGAGAUAGCUGGUUCUCCCCGAAAGCUAUUUAGGUAGCGCCUCGUGAAUUCAUCUCCGGGGGUAGAGCACUGUUUCGGCAAGGGGGUCAUCCCGACUUACCAACCCGAUGCAAACUGCGAAUACCGGAGAAUGUUAUCACGGGAGACACACGGCGGGUGCUAACGUCCGUCGUGAAGAGGGAAACAACCCAGACCGCCAGCUAAGGUCCCAAAGUCAUGGUUAAGUGGGAAACGAUGUGGGAAGGCCCAGACAGCCAGGAUGUUGGCUUAGAAGCAGCCAUCAUUUAAAGAAAGCGUAAUAGCUCACUGGUCGAGUCGGCCUGCGCGGAAGAUGUAACGGGGCUAAACCAUGCACCGAAGCUGCGGCAGCGACGCUGAUGCGUUGUUGGGUAGGGGAGCGUUCUGUAAGCCUGUGAAGGUGUGCUGUGAGGCAUGCUGGAGGUAUCAGAAGUGCGAAUGCUGACAUAAGUAACGAUAAAGCGGGUGAAAAGCCCGCUCGCCGGAAGACCAAGGGUUCCUGUCCAACGUUAAUCGGGGCAGGGUGAGUCGACCCCUAAGGCGAGGCCGAAAGGCGUAGUCGAUGGGAAACAGGUUAAUAUUCCUGUACUUGGUGUUACUGCGAAGGGGGGACGGAGAAGGCUAUGUUGGCCGGGCGACGGUUGUCCCGGUUUAAGCGUGUAGGCUGGUUUUCCAGGCAAAUCCGGAAAAUCAAGGCUGAGGCGUGAUGACGAGGCACUACGGUGCUGAAGCAACAAAUGCCCUGCUUCCAGGAAAAGCCUCUAAGCAUCAGGUAACAUCAAAUCGUACCCCAAACCGACACAGGUGGUCAGGUAGAGAAUACCAAGGCGCUUGAGAGAACUCGGGUGAAGGAACUAGGCAAAAUGGUGCCGUAACUUCGGGAGAAGGCACGCUGAUAUGUAGGUGAAGCGACUUGCUCGUGGAGCUGAAAUCAGUCGAAGAUACCAGCUGGCUGCAACUGUUUAUUAAAAACACAGCACUGUGCAAACACGAAAGUGGACGUAUACGGUGUGACGCCUGCCCGGUGCCGGAAGGUUAAUUGAUGGGGUCAGCGCAAGCGAAGCUCUUGAUCGAAGCCCCGGUAAACGGCGGCCGUAACUAUAACGGUCCUAAGGUAGCGAAAUUCCUUGUCGGGUAAGUUCCGACCUGCACGAAUGGCGUAAUGAUGGCCAGGCUGUCUCCACCCGAGACUCAGUGAAAUUGAACUCGCUGUGAAGAUGCAGUGUACCCGCGGCAAGACGGAAAGACCCCGUGAACCUUUACUAUAGCUUGACACUGAACAUUGAGCCUUGAUGUGUAGGAUAGGUGGGAGGCUUUGAAGUGUGGACGCCAGUCUGCAUGGAGCCGGCCUUGAAAUACCACCCUUUAAUGUUUGAUGUUCUAACGUUGACCCGUGAUCCGGGUUGCGGACAGUGUCUGGUGGGUAGUUUGACUGGGGCGGUCUCCUCCUAAAGAGUAACGGAGGAGCACGAAGGUUGGCUAAUCCUGGUCGGACAUCAGGAGGUUAGUGCAAUGGCAUAAGCCAGCUUGACUGCGAGCGUGACGGCGCGAGCAGGUGCGAAAGCAGGUCAUAGUGAUCCGGUGGUUCUGAAUGGAAGGGCCAUCGCUCAACGGAUAAAAGGUACUCCGGGGAUAACAGGCUGAUACCGCCCAAGAGUUCAUAUCGACGGCGGUGUUUGGCACCUCGAUGUCGGCUCAUCACAUCCUGGGGCUGAAGUAGGUCCCAAGGGUAUGGCUGUUCGCCAUUUAAAGUGGUACGCGAGCUGGGUUUAGAACGUCGUGAGACAGUUCGGUCCCUAUCUGCCGUGGGCGCUGGAGAACUGAGGGGGGCUGCUCCUAGUACGAGAGGACCGGAGUGGACGCAUCACUGGUGUUCGGGUUGUCAUGCCAAUGGCACUGCCCGGUAGCUAAAUGCGGAAGAGAUAAGUGCUGAAAGCAUCUAAGCACGAAACUUGCCCCGAGAUGAGUUCUCCCUGACUCCUUGAGAGUCCUGAAGGAACGUUGAAGACGACGACGUUGAUAGGCCGGGUGUGUAAGCGCAGCGAUGCGUUGAGCUAACCGGUACUAAUGAACCGUGAGGCUUAACCUUACAACGCCGAAG
rnacentral:rRNA from 1 species